UACAGAGGUCUCAAGCGUUGUUCGGAUUUACUGGGCGUAAAGGGCGCGUAGGCGGCCAGCACAAGUCAGUUGUGAAAUCUCCGAGCUUAACUCGGAAAGGUCAACUGAUACUGUGCGGCUAGAGUGCAGAAGGGGCAACUGGAAUUCCUGGUGUAGCGGUGAAAUGCGCAGAUAUCAGGAGGAACACCGAUGGCGAAGGCAGCUUGCUGGGACGGUACUGACGCUGAGAACGCGAAGCGUGGGGAGCAAACAGG
rnacentral:rRNA from 1 species